CUUGAGGCUGAAGCCGCCACAGAGGCUCCAGGAGAGAACUUUUGUUCCUGGUUUUGGGACACUUGAAAGAGAGCAUCUCCCAGUGGCAAAGAUAAGAGCCCACGUCCUUCCUGUAUCCUGUGGCUAUGCAUUCUCAGCCACAAGAGUCAGCAAGUCCCCUUCCAGAGGGAAGCGAUUUGGACAAUAACAUCUCAGACUGAUGCUGCUAAUCUGCCCUUACCCAAGGGAAGUGGGUGAGGUCAGAAGACGGGGAAAGACUUGUCUGCUGUCAGGAUGAUGGUGAAACUGACGCAUCAAAUAGAGCUGAAUGCUGCUGUAAAGUGCCUAGGGUCCCAACCUGUGGAAAUCGAAGUCUCUGAGGAUUCCUAUGUGAUCAAAGGCUGGAUUUCACUUCUCAAAGAGUCAGCUUUUGAGCAUUCCUUUGUGGAGCUGCAAGAACAUAAAGUCAUCACAGAGAGCCUCGUUAAAAGUGUUUAAUGAGAGCAGUGUGAUCCCACAGCCCAAGGGUCAGCAUGAGAGCAAGGACAGCCCAGAAGCCUCGUCCCACCAGAGCCGGGUAUCAUCAGGAGACCCCAUUCACCGAGGGACACAUUGACUGCUGUCACCAACACCCAGACAGGCACAGGAGACAAAGCAACCCAAGAGAACUGCAGCUGGGUAACAACGCCAGUGCGAAUUUCUCAGCCCAGAACAAGCCAAGACUCACUUCUGGCCAAAAUUCCUGCACUAAUGCUAACCACCAUCUGAUUACAUGAUUUUCCUGAGAUCCUGAUGCAAGUCGUUGUCACAGAAAGGGCUCAUGUGGGCACACUGCAGCCCAGGUUCCCUGCUGCCUACCUCUGCCUCUGGUUGGUCCGGUGCCCCGAGCAGCCCCAUCACCUGUGCUCUGCUCCCUGCUGGAAAAACAUGCUCGUUUUCAAAGGUGUGUGGCUGGAGCUGUGCUUGGGACAAAUCCGAAUGCUCUCUGCCUGGGGAGCAGGAUGGGGCUGAGGGGAAGAAAAGCAGCAGUUAAUGCAGUAAGUGGUGAAAAUUAAGCAAAUUGUUCAAGUGGUGCUUUAACAAAGAACAGUUUGAGACUCCUCUGAUUUGUGGGUUCUCUUUUUCGUGUGAAAGAAAGAAGAGAGAAGGAGAUUUUUCCAUGCAGUCAACAUGUUGCAUGUGCACGGCCAGAGUUCUCGUGAACCAAAAACCAAUUCACUGACUGAGGAAACUCCUCCCCGUGUUGGUUCAUUCCCUGUGCUGCACAUCUGCUUCUGGAAGGUAAUGUCAUGCAUCUGUGUCCAUAGUUAAUUCACUAUUUUCCCCUCUCCUCGAUGCAUAAGCAAGUAUUUGCUUUCCUGCUCACAUCUGACCACAGUCUGUGAGCAAAUCAGGCAUGUUCAGCAAUGCUGCUCUUAGCUGCUCUUCCAAGGUUUUGUGUCAACAGGAACAUUAGGUCAAUUUGCAGACAGCCCCAGAAAAUCUGGUGCAGCAUCUCUCACACUAUUGACAGGGACUGCUUGAAUUCAGCAUUGCCAGGCUAACAGUUGUCAUUCAGCUCUUGAGCAGAUUUGCACCACCACCUCAUCUAUUUUUCAUCAGUCUUGCACCCUCUGUGACAUCCGUGUCAAUCCAUGAGUUCAGUCUGAUUCAGUUCAAUCCCACACAUACCGAGUGUGUGUGCCAUGCUCAGACCUGAGUAAUCACUUGGAUGACAAAAGGAUGCUCAGUUCCUGCAACUGAAAAGAAAAGCCCAAGAAGCAACUCACUGAGUUUGUUCUAGACAAACUCCAUGGCAAUUGGAUGAUCCUUAAGGUCCCUUCCCCAACCCAAGCCAUGCUGUGAGUCCACAGUCAGAAACACAAGCAAAAAAUGUCACUUUUGCUGGCAGGGGAUGGGCAGGAAAAUUGGAUUAGAACAUCUGGUGGGGUUGUUAGCAAAUUUAGUUUGCUACGAAGCUGGCACUCCAUGCUGCCCCUCCUCAACUGUUGUGCUACAUCACCUCCACUUCCCUGUGCUCCUGCCUCGCCCUGUGCUAACCCUGAUGCUGACCUGCCCUGGCUCCCCAUUAGAGCUGCAAUUAGGGGGUGACUCUUAAUAGCGAGGUCUUGCCUCAGAGUGGGGAGAAAUGUUUCUGUAACUCACAUGUGACAAUUAAAGAUAAUUUAAAAUGUAAGUAAUUGCCCUGGGUUUCUGGAAACUACUGUAGAGGUCUUGUCCCAGGCAUCUGACAGGCACGGUGGUGUAUUUUGACAAGUUUUGUGCAGAUUUCCAUUAAAUACCAACUAGCAGCUCUAUUUUCUUUGGAGUCACUGGUCAGGAAAUGGUGAUUGUGAAAGGUCAGGUCUGGAAGGUUUGGGAGGGGAUGGAGGUGUUAUUCACGUUCCGAUCCAUGGGGAUCUGGUUCCAACAUAAAUCUUGCAGUUGCUUCAUCCUUGCUUUCUGCACAGUCUUUCAGCAGGAGAAAGGCACAGGCUGAUCUACAGGGAUCCUCUGUUCAGUUUCAUGGCCCCUGCUGAGAUGCCAGGUGAGGCGGGACCUACAAAAUGCCCCUUGGCAAGCUGGGGAGUCUGAUUUUAGACACCUGGCAAGCAGCAGAAUGUUUGGUUGUAUCCCCAUCCCAUCACAGCAUUGCACUAAGCCUUCUAGUUUGCAAAAGUGGAUGAGAAAUUCCAGUUGGUUGAAGGCUUCUGCAAGGUCAGAGUGUGAACAUCCUGCAGAAUGCACUCAGAUACUUUCAGAGGCUCAGCAGUCCUUGAAAGAGCUUUGCAUCGUGCAAACAAACUGUCAGCUGAGCUUGGAUUCUGCCACAUGUCCUAACACUAAGGAGCCAUCUGUGUACAGCACACUACAUAUGACCUUUCUUCUCCCUCUCCUUUCUUUCAAGUUGUCUCUUUUUUGACCUACAUUUAAGAUACCAAAUGAAUCCCAGCUGAGCACAGAGUUAAAUAUGCAACCCCAUACCAGCAUGUAAAUGAAGAGUCAGUCCAUGUACAGCAUGAGAACAAGUAUAUGGAAACAGAAUAAUCUGAAAAUGGAAAGGGACCCAUUCUGAACAUAGUCACCAUCUUUCACGUUUCAUUGGUCUGGGUUCUUCUCUCAGUUAUGGAGGCUUUUCUCCCAAGUCAUUUCAGGUGGGCCUGGAGGAGGACUUGUCACAAAAAAGCAGAGAGAAACCUGUACCACGUUUCAAAACUGCACUUUUAUUUCUGCUUCCAUAACUGAUUUUCUCAUGUAUGUUCAAAAGCCAGAGAUCACAUCUCUGUACUAUAGAAGUUUUCAGUUUGUGCCAGGGGAUAGUAAAAUUAAAUGUGUCCAGAAGCAGUUGCAUGAUCAUGAGCUCUGCAAGUUCUUACCUUUGUAUGGCUUAUAGAAGACAAAAAUACAUAGGAGAAAUUAAAGCUACAGAAGUCUCACCUUCAUUACUGCUUCCAAGCAGCUGUCUUUCUGGCUUUAGUAAUUCAGACACAUGGGCUACACCACCAAAAAAAAAAACCCACAACCAUCAUGGAACUUCAUAAAGAUCAGAAAUGAAAUCAAAUAUGUACAUAAAAAAAAUAGUUCUUAUUUUUAUCACAACUAAAGUGUUACUUAUGUCACAUACAGGUCAUUACAGAUGAGACAAAAUGACCAGAGCUGGUUUGGGGGCUUUGGUUUUUGCUCGUCAAGAGGCCACUUGAAGCUUUAACUCAGCAUCACUCACUUAUAUUUUGCCUUUAAAGCCAUUGGAGUGCUCAGACCCAGCACAGGGCACAUUGCCAUCACCCAGGUGGGGACUGCAUGCCCCUAACCAAUGUCACCAUGCCCACAUGAUGCCUGGGGCCUCUCCAAAGCAAGGUUUACAUUACCAGCACAGCACUGCCUUCACCUCACUUCCUGGCUCAGCCCUUUUGUAGAGCAUUCCAUGUUGGGCCACACAAGGGACAGAAGGGGGGAAAAACACAGGCAAAACAGAUCUAGCUUUGAAACACCAGAGUCCACAUCACCAAACCCUCUGUCCUCAUCCAUGCAAAACCCUUGUAGGACGCAUGGAGGUAAGCUUUUGAAAGGGUUUUUGAACACAUCAUACAUAGGAAAAUAACAUGCUGUAGAAACUUGGCAAUGAGUUUGUCUCCAGUAGCCAAGUUGGGCAUGGAAAAAAAAAAUUAGACAAUAAAAGGUCAUUUCUAGCCAAGUUUUAAGUGAGUAUACAAUACAUACCUUUUUUUUCCCCCAGUUCCUUGCCUUAGUUAUUGGCCAACUUGGCCAGGAUCUUAUGGAAAACACUGAAAUGGAAUUAUUAUAAUUGUGUGGGUUUUUUUUUCUCUUUUUGACCAAGCAAAAGUUCUUAUAAGCAAUAAUUUAAUUACAGCAAAAGCAUAACACAGACACAGUCUUAAGGAUGCAUCAUCAAAAGAAAAAAAAACCACCAAACUUUAAACUACAGCUACUUCAUGUGUGCCAGUGAGCUAAUACUGCUGCUAUUUAUUAUUUUUCUUAAUUAUUUAUUAUAAAGCCUGCCAUAAAGUGGAAAAUUACCAGUGCUGAUCACCUUUCCAACCAUUCCAGGUGGAAGAUGGCACAAGAACAGUUUUGCAAAGCUGACCUCAAUGAGAGAGUAAAGGAGUGAAGCAUGAGAGUGAAAGGGAAACAAACAAAUCAGAUUUGAAUAUGCUAAGCUAAAUAAAUAACCACAAGCCUGAGAUCAACAGGAAUAUUAUAAGCUGCAGAUUUGGAGCUGUGUUAAACAGGAACAAUCGUUUCCUUUUUGCCACUUACUGAAGGAAGAAGGCCAUUCCUUUCUGCAGAGUUGAUCUGCUACGUUCUCAUGCUCUCUAGGAAAUAUCCUUCCAAGUCAGAUGACUUCUUAGCGAGUGAGGAGAGGAAUAUGGUUUUUUGUUGCAAAAUUUAGAACUCAUUCCAUUGCUGCGUCACCAGCUCAGAUCUUUGUCUCAGCCAUUCCUUUGUCUCUUGCUCAGCCAUGACCCACUGCUCAUCCGCCGGGCUGACAGCACACCAAGUCCUGCCUAAAUGCAAGAACCUCAGAGCAUCAGUAGGACAUCCCACCCAGCCAAAGAACCCGGAGGAAACUUCUAAGCUUGUAUGAGUCACUCAUCAUCUCAAGCAGCAUUAGAAGGAAAUUGCCUUAGGGCACUGUCAUCACCAUUUGUGAGUAUUUGUUGACAGCAAAUGUCUGUGCUACUGUUACGAACCUCAGGCUGGGCUAGGUUUGAACCUAAGAUCACCACUUUUAGCACUUAUACAUUGGCCAGCUGGGCUGAAAAAUGGAGAAUUCAGCAUCACCAGAAGCUGGCAGUUGCCUUAAAGUUAAUGUGCAUCUGCGCAUAGCCUUUGCCAGCAACAAAUGCAGAGUGAUGGGCUUAGCUUAGUUGAGAACAAAGUAUUCUUACAUCCCAAUGAACCUGAAAAGAGGGAGGUGAAAAAAAAUACCAUUACUGAUCUGGAACUAGAUGUUAGCAGGGGACAAAACUGCAAAUAGAUAUGCACACACACACUUCUGCCAUUGUUACACAAUCUUUCACAGCUACCAACAAUCUGCACAUUAUCCCUGAGUCUAGUUCACGUUCCCAUGAUCUGAUGGCAUCACCAGGAGAGUGCUUAUGUGUUCCAGCCAGGGCAAGCAGCACAGACUGGAGGCUUCCCAGGCAAGAAUAAGGUUGAUGCGUGUGUCACCUAAAAGCCCCCCUUCCACAUAUCUCACUCUAAGACAUCUCCCUGAAUUUACUGCCUACAAACCAACUGGCAAGCAGACAUUACAGCUUUUCCUAAAAUUUAGGUGAGCAGCAGCAAGGAGGUGGCUGGGCCAUUGCCUCCCAGCUCUUCCUCCAGGCUGCUCAGCUCAGUCUGUGUAACCUCAUCAGCAUCCUAGCAAAAAGCUAUUUUUGCCUCCUAAACAAGCACAAGAAAAACCUUGGUUGAAGCAGAAUGGAAAAGAGCUUCAUGGCUUCCCUGGAGAAGGGGAAUGCAAGAUGGUGGUUGGUAGCCAUCUAUCCCAUCUGUUGGAGCCUAGACCCAGUUUUGUCUAAAGAUCCAUGGACAAAUUUGAUGUGCUCACAAAGGGUGGCUGAGAUCCUAGCAGAGCUGAAGUUGACUUCAGACCUGGCCAGCCCAAGCAGAGGACAUUGCUGUUGUUUAAAAAUGAUACUCAUUAAGAGCAGAAGUCAGGCAAUGAUCACCUUCUGUAGUUGAUAAUACUCAAGGAGGGAGAUGGUGGAAAAAUGAAACCUUGGAAAAUAAAACUUAUUUGGCACCGCUGAUUAAAACCAGUUUGUGUUUCAUUGUUAAAGGCUGUGUUUGCUCAAGGUUUAUUCAGCUCUGGUCUCUUCCAUCCACAUACGGUUUGUUUUAAUGACUGUGGAGUUAUAUGAAUCUAUUAAUUUUUUUUUCCUGAAAGUUUCAUAACAACAAUGCCUGUUUUUUUCAUACAGCACUUUACAGCCACGCAUCUGGAAAUACAUUGCAAAUAGGCAAUUAGUAUCAGCCCUAUUUUGAAGAUGGAGAUACUCAGAGUCCAAGCAAGACAGCUAUUAAAGAACGGUGCCAAAAUUAGGCCUUUUGCUUCAUCUUGACAAGCUAGAACUACAGCCUCUUGAAGACAACAGGGAUGCAUGAAAAGCAUUUCAUUUAGCUAGCAGUAACUCUGUCUCAGGUUGGACAGACAAGAGGACAGCAGCAAAGACAGACUGACUCAUGCUAAACAACAGAGGUAGGAAGAGGACUUCCAGUAAUGACAGACUUAGGCCACUGCAAGCACUUACUUCCCAAAACCAGUGCUGAGGGAUCCAUCUCCAGUGAAGGGCUGACCAUCACAGGUUCCUGUUUUCUGAUAAGAGCUUGCUGCAUUUUUCCUCUCCACGUUUUUCAGCCUUUCCAGAUCUUCCUGUUAAAGCACAGAGUUGAAAACCAAUAAGAUAAUAUUAUUUGAGGCAAAUCUCUAACCCUUUAAUCAGGCUAUGUGGGAGGCAAGAAAAUGUUAGAUGCAAGGGAAUAUUAAAUUAAUAAUACUAUGUUGAAGUUGAGAUUAGUCAGAUUCCAGAGACAUAUAAUAACUAACUGCUGCCACCUCUGAUAUGGAUGUGUGGAGGCAAUGAGCAGGCUCACAGCAAGGAAGCAGGUCCUGGGCAGGACAAUGCUGCCAGACAUACUGUGGCAGUGCACUCAGCCCUUCACAUAGCUGCUGGAUGUAAUAGAACAGCCCCUGCAAAAGCUCAGAGCAGCCUUAUCCCAAAGUGCUGCACGGUCUUCCCACCUCUCCAUCGCAUCCAGCCCAACCUGGGGUGCUGCAUCCAGGGGUGCCCAGUCCUGUCUGGUGUUCCUGGAUCCCUGCUCACAGGUGGGAUGCUCAGGAGUGUCAGUGAUGGGAGUGAAAAUGAGGUGAACAGGUAAGAAUACAGACACUAUAAAGAAGUGAAGAGUGAAGAAACAUUUGGAAGAAAAACACAAAGGAAUUAAAGAUAUCUAGAGUGAAAGAGAUGGUGAAUGGCCUGAAGGGAGUUAAUGAGAUCCAGAAAUGCAAGUUGGAGAAAUGUUGAUUUUAUUUAGCAUUAAUUGCAGGAAAGAGCCUAUAAAGUGUGGUAAAAAAAUUAUUAAGUACCACUAUGCAAUGCCAGCUUUAUGCCAGCCAUCCCUACGAAGCAGGUGUAUUAUUCCUAGUUCCCUAGGUAUAAAUAAAUAACUGCUUUUCCAUGGUUUUCUUUUUUUUUUUUCUUUUUUAAAUGAUGGCUUUUCAUUAAUUUUUACUGCCAUAUUGUUAUAGUUCUGAUUCCUCCAGAGCAGCUCUGGGGAUCAGUUGGUGCUGGAGUGUGUGUAUGCAGGUUGGUACCUGCGAGCCAUGGGGCACUGCAUGGGAGAUGCAGUGUCUGUGAUCAUAGCACCCCAGGGGUGCAGCCCUGGUCUUCUUGCCCAUGGACUAAACAUGACCUCACCCAUGGUCUGAGCUCUGACAGCAACAUCUGGGUAAAUACAGAAAGGAACCUGAUGGAAAAUGGACAGUUUGAUGGUUGAUGGACAGUUGAAGGGUGAUGCAUUUUGCAUUGAGGGCUCAUACAGCAAAGCCCAGAAGGAACAGACGGACCACGUUACCCAAGAAACCUUUCCCAAGAUUGAGGUUGCCCUGGGAAAGAACAUUCUGAGGGACAUCACCACGAUGCAAGCACUGGUAUCAUGUCAACCCAUUGGUUGUGGUGUUGGCCUCUGGUGUCAGGGACGGGGAGUUGGGCUUCCCAUGCCACCACAGCCAUCCAGCACUCCUGACUGCACACUCCAAGACAAGAAAAGAAAAGGGAAAAUAAAACCUAUGUUCCGUUCCACUUUUAACUUUCUGCUCAUGCCCAUACAUUCCUCCUGGCGUUAUUACAAACGGGCUCCAAUGUUGCCUUUGUUAAGAAUGAGAGCAGAGCACAUUUCCCCGAGCAAUGUUUGUAUCAGCAUUUUCAGGCUCCUUUUAUCGAGUCUCGCACUUCUCAGAGGAGACUCAGCGGGGAGAUGAGCUCUGGAUGCGUUUUCCUAGCAACGUCUCGCUUCAGAGAGGCCACCAAAGACGUUCAGGGAAGCAGUGAUUCCCUGGUAGUGCCUCAGUCCAAGCUCUGACCUGGAACCGUGGGCUCAGCAAAUACACAUAAAUCUUCAGCUCACGUCCAAAUCAUCGCAAGGUUCAGUGAAAAUAGCAAAACUGCCAGUGGAUCUAAC
ensembl:lncRNA